rnacentral:rRNA from 1 species
UGGGGAAUAUUGGACAAUGGGGGCAACCCUGAUCCAGCAAUGCCGCGUGAGUGAUGAAGGCCUUAGGGUUGUAAAGCUCUUUUGCCAGGGACGAUGAUGACGGUACCUGGAGAAUAAGCCCCGGCUAACUUCGUGCCAGCAGCCGCGGUAAUACGAAGGGGGCGAGCGUUGUUCGGAAUUACUGGGCGUAAAGGGCGCGUAGGCGGCCGAGCAAGUUAGAUGUGAAAGUCCUGGGCUUAACCUGGGGACUGCAUUUGAUACUGCUUGGCUUGAAUUCGGGAGAGGAUAGCGGAAUUCCCAGUGUAGAGGUGAAAUUCGUAGGUAUUGGGAAGAACACCGGUGGCGAAGGCGGCUAUCUGGACCGACAUUGACGCUGAGGCGCGAAAGCGUGGGGAGCAAACAGG